rnacentral:rRNA from 1 species
UACGUAGGAUGCAAGCGUUGUCCGGAAUUAUUGGGCGUAAAGAGUUCGUAGGCAGUUGCCUAAGUCUGGUGUUAAAUACAGGAGCUCAACUCCUGCAUGGCACUGGAAACUGGGCGGCUAGAGUAUGGUAGAGGUCGACGGGAAUUCCUGGUGUAGCGGUGAAAUGCGCAGAUAUCAGGAGGAACACCGGUGGCGAAGGCGGAUCUCUGGGCCUUACCUGACGCUGAGGUCGCGAAAGCUAGGGGAGCAACAGGAUUAGAACUACCGGUGUCAGUC